UUUCCGUAGGUGAACCUGCGGAAGGAUCAUUAUUGUAUUACCGAGGUGCGAGGUCUGUCGCUGAUUUGUUUGGUCGUGCACGCCCGAGUGCUCUCUCUAACAAUCAACUCAUCCCUUUGUAUACCACCGCGUGUGUCCUCCUUUUGCUUGUUCGGAGGAGUGCUUAUGUUUUCUAAUAUUCUUUGUAUGAGUAGCAGUAUGUAUUUAUUGUUUUUGCGAUCAACAAUCCCACACCCCUUUCCACAACGGAUCUCUUGGAUCACGCAUCGAUGAAACACG
rnacentral:misc_RNA from 1 species